rnacentral:rRNA from 1 species
GGGGAAUAUUGCACAAUGGGGGAAACCCUGAUGCAGCGACGCCGCGUGAGUGAAGAAGCGCCUCGGCGCGUAAAGCUCUGUCAGCAGGAACGAUAAUGACGGUACCUGAAGAAGAAGCCCCGGCUAACUACGUGCCAGCAGCCGCGGUAAUACGUAGGGGGCAAGCGUUAUCCGGAUUUACUGGGUGUAAAGGGAGCGUAGACGGCGGGGCAAGUCUGGAGUGAAAGGCCGGGGCCCAACCCCGGGACCGCUCUGGAAACUGCCCGGCUGGAGUGCGGGAGAGGUAAGCGGAAUUCCUAGUGUAGCGGUGAAAUGCGUAGAUAUUAGGAGGAACACCAGCGGCGAAGGCGGCUUACUGGACCGUGACUGACGUUGAGGCUCGAAAGCGUGGGGAGCAAACAGG